rnacentral:lncRNA from 1 species
ACAAUGUCGCCACGAAGGACUAGUCAAUAUCAUUUCACUUAACAUUUAAUUUUGAUGCUUGAACAUCGCAGUUUCGCACAUCACGAUUUGCACCCAGCAACACAAUAUGGUGAAAUCUUAACGAAAUUUUAUUUCCCUAUCCAUCCUCACAUUCUUCCAUUUCAUCACUUUUAACCUUGAUGCUCGGACACCAUAGUGUCCCCUUCACAUGCCUUGAAGCUUAGAUCAUCACGAUUUGUGCCUAGCAACAUUGUAUAACAGUAUACAGAAACACUAUUUCCCAAAUCCUAACUCCAUCUAACCCGUCAAUAAUUUCCCUUUGCACUAUGCAUAAUUACCCAAUCAUAUCAUACAAUUUUAUCAUUAUACAUACAUCACGCCAGUUUACCUAUCAUCAACUAUCUACCAUAAAACAACCAACAGACGACUGGAAAGAGCUCACAUAGUAUUGUGUACAAACACAACCUACUCUUUCUUCAAGCACACACACACCAUAAACUUAGGCAACUCCAUACAUAAUCAACAAGACAAAUGCAAAGCACAUGACAUCAUCUGUCAUCCAGAAGGUAAGGUAUAGAGGCUCACCUGGAUUCCUUUAUCCUUGUCAGCUUAGCUUGUCCAAGCAUUAGAGACUUCUCUGUCUUGGUAGUUAAGUAUGACAACCAUUUAUCAGUUAACUCAAAGGCAUUCAAACCUUAAAGCCCAGAAUUCAUAAUUAUUCAGAAGCUUUUAAAUUUUCUUACUCUACUUAUUUCUUUA